CUCUGGGCCGGCUCAUGGUGAUCCUGCUCGAGACAGAGACCACCCGUGGCUUCUUCCAGAACAUAGUCCAUGUUCUGCAGAGAUCAGUGACCUCAAACAAUGUGUGGGAGCGCAAGAGGGCCCUGCAGACCUGCUCCCAGCUGCUGGCUGCUUGUGAAGAGCUUCCGAGAGGAGAUGCCUGCGAGAACUUUGGCUCCUUGGUGGGAUUGCUGGCUCCGCUGACGUGUGACCCCAAGCCCACAUCCCGCCAGUUGGCCGCCACCUGCCUGAUCUCCCUUCUCCGAAUCCAAGCCAAGGCAGCCAACAGAGUCAUCGAGACGGGAGACAUCGGGAGCCUGUGUGAGGGGCUGAGUGACUGCAGCACCGUCUCUCAGCUCCAGACCUCAUCCAAACUGGCAAG
rnacentral:lncRNA from 1 species